GUUACCAUACUUUAAAUAAAAAGGUCUGGUUUGCAACUAGAAAUUGAAGAGAACUCUUCUGGCGACA
rnacentral:tRNA from 1 species